AAUUCCCAGACCGAAAAGAGGAGAAAGAAUAACCUAAGAUACCACCAUCGAGAGAUCGCAUCAAGGAUAUUAGAAGCAAGAUCAUCUGCCAAGGUUUGGGAGAAAAGGAGAUGAAAGAGCCUGGAGAAGGUUAAACACUGACUACUACAUCACCCUUUCUGUUGCUGAAGAUAAGGCUAAAAUAAAAAGGGCUAUGUUUUACUUUAUGAAAGGUAACUUAUGCUUGUUAAAAUCUCAGGUUAUUCCACUAACAGUAACUUCUGGUAACAAUUGUAAGUGAACACUAACACUUUAAAAGAUGUUUAAAAAUGCAGACCUCAGUUUAUUUAAGAAGACUCUUUGAACAUUUUAAAAGUUCUACUCAUGCAGAGAUUUAAAUAAAACCCAGAACUUUCACUUGCUAUGCCAUAGGAAACAAGAAUUGGGUAGAACUUGCCUGUCUCCAAACCCAGCCACCAACUGGUUAGAGGCUGACAUCUUCGCAACUUUGUUUUCAGUGCAUUUACAUGGACUAUUAUAAUAUUAUUACUCAACCUCUGAACAUUACUGUUUGAGUCACCAGAGGCCUUACAACCUUUCAUUUUGAUUACAGUUUCGUUCUUCCGUCCCCAGUUCUGUUUGAUAAGAUGGGAUAAGUGAGUGGAAUGCAGUGGAGAUGAUGUCUCAUUUGUACUCCCAAUUUAACUCAAAACCUGCUCCUACUAUGAUUAUGCUUUCAAAGUGAAUUAUCUGUCAGAUUGUUCAGCAUUCCCUCUAACGGCCUGGCUCAGUGGAGAUGGAUGUAGUCUGCAGUGUCGCUCCUUGGCACAGUGCGGCCCAGGUGUUGCUGCACAGAGAAAGGCGAGUCCUCAGGAGCCCAGAGUCUGGCUUUGAGCCUGAGACUCCAUCAUAAUGCAGGUGUGGAGCCUCAGCUUCUGCACCUAUGGAACUGAAAUUUAAAAGUUUAACUUUUCUUUAAAAGUUUUAUGAUGAAUUUCCUUAGCCUCUUUACUAUAUUAAACUCCAACAUAGCAGAUUUCUGAUAGGCCACAUGUAAAUCUGUGAGCCACAAGUUACCAAAUACUCUAAACUCUCUCCUGUAUGAGGAACAGUAUUUUUUUUUUAAUGAACCAACCCCCAGGUUGCUUUCUCAAUUCCAUUCUUAUAAUAACGACAUCAUAUUUUAGGAAGCCACAGUUCUUGGACUUCUUACCAUGGUCAUGUUUAAAAGGUGAGGAGGCUGCCUGACCUGGCACUUGAAUAACAUUUCGCAAAUAGACCAAGCCUCUUAUUUAUAAUGUUGUUGUAAUUCAAAGAAACUGUUGGUUGUAACUUUAUUUUUCCCUCUUAGUGUUAAAUAUAUAAAGCCAAAUGCUUGUACGUGAUAGAAGUGUUUUCCCACCUGGGGCACUUUAUUCAGAUCAGUCUUAUGUGGGAACUGAAGAAAGUAAAUGUGUAUAGAUUGGCUAAAUAAAUAGAGAAACAGGCAUUCAGACGUAUGAAACAGGGUUGAGACCUAAUAAAAAUGGACCCUCAAAGAGGCAUACUUAAAAUGUAAGUGGAUUUUACAUAAAUAUCAGAGAAAAUAUUCUGUUGGCAAAAUAUUUUGUCCUGUGAAUGUGGUGCUUCUCCAUUAUAUGGAUAAAGUCAAGAAGUGGGAGUCCUUCAAUUCUUGACAUUUAAAUGUAUCCUGGACCUGGCUUGAGAAAACUCCAAGGGGAGUAAUCUUGCAGGUGAGUGGACUAGAAAACAUAAUAAAUCUUUUCCAUCACCAUAUUGCAUGUAUGGUCCCAUGAUUCAGUUAACCUCGAGGCUUAAGGGGUAUUACUUUUAGUAACAUUGAAUUCUCAUUUCUACUGGAAUGUUUUCGGUUUUCUUCCCUCCAAAUUUUGUUUCUUGGCCAAAAACAUCUACAUGAACAUUGUGGUAUCGUGUAUUUAGUAACUCAUCCGUUCUGCUAAUCAGAAGUCAUGUAAUCCUGUGUGUGUGCUUGAGCACUAGACAGUUGUUUAUGUGAUAAACCACAGGACUGUCCAUGGGUCUGUGGUCUGGUGGCUAUAUGUCAGAAUUAAAGCCUUUUGUUGGUUGUUUUGAACAUAUUGUUAUUCAUGGAAUGGUUUUUACACUGAGUCCAGAAUGUGGUUACUCUAAAGUCUUCACAAUAAUCAUAAAAAAUAAUUCCCAAGUAGCUAUACCUACCUAGAACUUAGUUAUGGUCAUGCCUGUUGUAUUACUCUUCAAAUUGUUAAUCUUUAAAAUAUAAACCACUGCCAUCUUCUCCCCAUGUAAGCACCUUUCACUCCCCAGUAUUCCUAAAUGUAUGACAACAAAAAGGCAAAGACAGCCCAGCAGCCCCCCAGCCCCCCAGGUGUAGAACUGUGUCACAUUGAGGACAAAGACUAAAACUCCACUUGAUAUUGCACAAGGGAUUUUAUAAAAGGUGACCAAAGUAACACCACACUGUAAACAUACUGGUCACCAAGAUUUACACCUAUUCUUUAGUAAGUUAAUAAAAAGUGGUGCAAGUGUCCAGAAGUCACUUAUUCUUUGAUAACAUAUACUAAGUAUUUGGAGUUUGAGAACUCAUGUAAGAAUAGCAUUACCUAUAGAGUCCUCUGUUAGAGAAUCAGAACAUCUGCAAGGUAAAGGUUUUACAUCUUUUUGGAUGUAAAUGAAAACCAUAAAGAUCUCAUAAAAGUAAACAUAUAAUGUUUUAAUGUAAGUUAUAUUCAGGAUACUAUUUUUGUCUAAGUUAAAAAAAAGGGGGGGGAGCAAAAGGAAAGGAGAAAGAACUGAAAUAUUCUCUUUAAUCUUAUCUAUCACAACAGAAUUCAUUUCUCUUCUCCCUUCCCCAAGUGCCUAGGCCCCAAAAUUGAAGGGAUUGGUCAGAGUUCCAUGGGCUGAAUUGUAAAUCUACUGAUGCUAAAGGGAAUUAAAUAACUAAAUUCUUGUAGCUCCUGAUGAGAAAACACCUAACAGAAAGUCUUAAGUCUGACACACUUUUCUUGGUUUACGCCAAAUCAGCAGAUCAUGCAAUUUGUUGCUUUCGCGGACUAAGCAUAGGCGCGCACACCCCUCUCCUGUACUUGUGCCGGCUCUAAUUCCCUAAAGAGAAAGCUGGAGAGUAGUAGAUCACUUGAAGGUUGGGAUAGUCCUGAUUAAUUGGCAGGAACGACUAAAUCCUAAUCCAGGGUUACUAACAUUGAGCAUUCUGUAAGUGUUCUUGCAAAAAAAAAAAGAAAAAGAAAAAGAAAAGAAA